rnacentral:rRNA from 1 species
AGCUAUAAGAACAUAUUUAUAGUUUAACCUGCCCAAUGUUAUAAUGAAUGGCCGCGGUACUAUGACCGUGCUAAGGUAGCGUAAUCAGUUGGCUUUUAAAUGGAGUCAGGAAUGAAUGGGAUAACCUGGUUUAGCUGUCUCUUUUUUAUUAAAUUGAAUUUACUGUGUAAGUGAAAAAGCUUAUAUGUAGAAAGGGGACGAGAAGACCCUUAGAAUUUUUCUUAAAUAAAUUAAUUAUUUUACUAGUUUUGUUGGGGCGACAGAGAAAUAUUAAUAACUUUCUUUUUAAUAUUUGCCGAUUAUAUUAAGAUAAAAUAAAUUACCUGAGGGAUAACAGCAUAAUUUUAAAGAUAAGUUUGUGACCUCGAUGUUGGACUAGGAAACUGAUAAGCUAGCCGUUUAUUUUGUUGGUUCUGUUCGAACUUUAAUUCCU